rnacentral:rRNA from 1 species
ACCUACGGGGGGCAGCAGUGGGGGAUAUUGCACAAUGGGGGAAACCCUGAUGCAGCGACGCCGCGUGGGUGAAGAAGCGCCUCGGCGCGUAAAGCCCUGUCAGCAGGGAAGAAAAUGACGGUACCUGAAGAAGAAGCCCCGGCUAACUACGUGCCAGCAGCCGCGGUAAUACGUAGGGGGCAAGCGUUAUCCGGAUUUACUGGGUGUAAAGGGGGCGCAGACGGCGAUGCAAGCCAGGAGUGAAAGCCCGGGGCCCAACCCCGGGACUGGUCUUGGCGCUGCGGGGCUAGGGUGCGGGAGGGGCG